rnacentral:rRNA from 1 species
UACGGAGGGAGCUAGCGUUGUUCGGAAUUACUGGGCGUAAAGCGCACGUAGGCGGCUUUGUAAGUUAGAGGUGAAAGCCCGGGGCUCAACUCCGGAACUGCCUUUAAGACUGCAUCGCUUGAAUCCAGGAGAGGUGAGUGGAAUUCCGAGUGUAGAGGUGAAAUUCGUAGAUAUUCGGAAAAACACCAGUGGCGAAGGCGGCUCACUGGACUGGUAUUGACGCUGAGGUGCGAAAGCGUGGGGAGCAAACAGG